rnacentral:rRNA from 1 species
AUUGAACGCUGGCGGCGUGCUUAACACAUGCAAGUCGUGCGGUAACAGGCGUAGCAAUACGUGCUGACGAGCGGCGAACGGGUGCGUAAUACAUGGGAAUCUGCCUUUUAGUGGGGAAUAACCCGGCGAAAGCCGGGCUAAUGCCGCAUAAGAUCUUCGGAUGAAAGCGGGGGAUCGUAAGACCUCGCGCUGAUAGAUGAGCCCAUGCCGGAUUAGCUAGNGGUGAGGUAACGGCUCACCAAGGCGACGAUCCGUAGCUGGUCUGAGAGGACGGCCAGCCACACUGGGACUGAGACACGGCCCAGACUCCUACGGGAGGCAGCAGUGGGGAAUAUUGGACAAUGGGGAAACCCUGAUCCAGCGACGCCGCGUGUGUGAAGAAGGCCUGCGGGUUGUAAAGCACUUUCGGUGGGAACG